AGCAGGCGUGGGCCGCCCUGGUGCUGACGGUCUGGUUUGCCUCCCAGCUCUGCUAGCCGGGCUUUAGUAGUGCGCUUUCUCGCGGCUGUCAUAAGUACCACGCUGUUGACUGGGACACCGAUCUCCAAUUCUGUCCUUGAGGCAAUAAAGAUGUGGCGAAGGCCCGAGGUGAGGCCACUGCCACUGCACUUAGUCCUGCGACUCCCCUAAGGACGGGCCGAGGAAUGGCGGGCUAGCCACUUCCCAGUCCUGUCCCUACGGGGCAGAAAAAGGCUCGGCAUCCCGGGAUCCGGAGGGUCACUUCCCUCGCUGCAUCCCCAUUGUGCAACUGCCAGUCUAAAAAUUGAUAUAGGUCCUGCACAAUCAAGUGUCAGCCGACCUCACUCCCCACUAACUGUACAGUAAGUUGAUCUGCUCUGGAUACCUCAAACACCAACUUCUUUCCAGCAUGUAUGAACCUUUGCAUGGGUUGUUCCCUGUACCUAAAUUCUCUCUUCUCCAUUCAACACGUGGCACUUCCCUUCAUCAUUUAGGUUACGUCUAAAAUAGUACCUUCUUAAAGAAGACUUUCCUGGCUACUGUAUCUCAAGUGAGCACUCUUUUUUUAUUUGCAGGUUCAAUUUCAUUUUUAUACUUUUUACAACUAGCAAUUGUUGUUGUUCCCCCACCCUGUAAAAUCUAAGUUCUGUGAGUAGAAUAACUGUGUUUUGUUUGGUCGCUAAUGUAUCCUCAAUGACUCUCUAACACAAGACAAGCAAAUCAAUAUUUGUUGAACAAUGAAUGAAAGCUGAUGUGGCUGGGUAGAGACCAUGGGGAGGAGUCAGGGGAGUGAAUCUGUAGGCAUGGGCCAAGGCCAGACCCUGUAAGCCUUAGCCAAGUUACUGACUUGAGUAUUACGAAAUGCUUACUGGAUAACCAGUUUUAAGCAUGGGCAUGGUGCAAUCCAAUGUGCAUCUAUCUUUUGAAAAGGUUAAUCUCCUGGAGAAACUAGAGGCAGCCAGGGAGGAUGCUGUUGAACCAGUUAGGAGGCUGUUGCAAGAGAUCCCAGGAAAAGAUAAUGAUAAUGUGGACUUGGAAGAUGGCAGAGGAGUUGCAGAAAAGUAUCCAGAUUUUAAAGAGAGACUGGAAUUUGAAUCUGGGUGAUCCGGCUUCAGAGUCUGUGCAUUCUUUGGCCUCUCAAAGUUUGGAUCCAACACCCCUGGAAUUCUCUUAAGAAAAUACUAAGUGCUUAACUCCACCUGCAAAGCCAUCUCUAGAAGCAAGACUGAAGCAGCUGACUUUUCAACCCCAAAAUAAUACUUUUGAGUAUGUAUUAAUUGCAAAGGUUUAAAUAACAAGUUCAACAAAAAUUUAUCAGCCACCCACUAAGUGACAGAUGUCUCUACCCUUGAGAGGCUCUUAAGAGGCCUUCAUCUAAAGUAGCCCUUCUCAACCUGGGAUUUCAAGAGACAAUUAAUCCCUAAUGCCUUUAGGCACCCAUUGUAUAUAAUGUAUUAACUUCUUUCAUAUACAUCUAGAAUGGCACUGGUUCUACACCGUCCUGAAAAUAAUUUUUUUAUCUCCUGUGGUUCAUAUGGGGAAAUCCAUAUGCAAAGUAUUUCAAAACAUGACAAAUGUUGUAAUAGAAAUGAACAAGGAAUAAUGGGAGCAGAGUGAGCAUAGCUUAAAAGUAAUGGCUGUGAAGUCAGACUUGAGAUUGAGUAUAAGCCCAGCCACUUAUAGGGCUCAUAAAAUUGUUGUAAGGAUUAAAAUAGCAUAUGUAAGUUAUUUAGUAUAAUCCUGGUACAUAGUAGGUUUCAUAGUGGUAGGAAUAUUUAUUAAAUCUGUUUGUUAAGUCAUUAGAAUGCAAACUCGUUACUAUCUUGGUCCUCUAUAGCCCCAACAUCUAAAACCGUACCUUGCACAAAAACAAGUACUCAAUAAAUACUUUUUGAUGUAAUAAGGGAUGUCUACUAGGGAAGAUUUCGUAAUGUAGCAUGUAGGCUGAAGAAAAUGAUUGGGAUUUGCCAGUGAAUUACAGGAGGAGGCUAUUCCAGGCCAUGGAAGGCUGUGAGACAAUGAUAAAAAGAACAAGAGUUCACAAAAGAUUCCAAAAACUAAAUACCUACUUCAGCAUGACUGUGAACAUUAGCUGAAGUGGAUAAUGGCAGGAGAUAAGAAAAGUAGGCAGAGGCUAGAUCAUAAAGGGCCCUAUAUGACAUGCUAAAGAAGAGCUAGAAUUAUAUUCUGUAAGGCCUAGGUUUUGCUCAGCAGAGGUAUGGAAGGAAGAGUGUAGGAAGAGAAGAAAGAAAAGGAUUGAGUCUUAUGUCUAUAAUACCAAAAUCUUAACAAAGUGCAAAUCAAGAAAUGAGACAACAGGAUGUAGAAGUUUAAGCAUAUUAUUUCAGUGUGCAAAGGUAACCAGUACAGGAAAAAAUAUAUGUAACUAGAGCUAAGUGAUUGUCUGUCUUUGUAGGAAGUAAAUAGAUAUCUAUAAUUGAUACAUGAAGAAAUAAUAUUAGGAGGAGCAUAUCAUUUAAAGAUAUAGUAUUUAUAGUAUUUGGUAUAGUAAUUGCCAAAAAUACUAAAAACAAAUUAUAAGAAUAGUUGCCCCUGGAAAGCAGGCCUGGAGAUGUGAAAGGGUGAGUUUUUUUAUUAUAAGAUCUUUUUGAAUUUGUAAUAAACAUUUUUUAAAAUUUAAUGUGUCCUAGCUGGGCUUGGUGGCUCAUGCCUGUAAUCCCGGUGUUUUGGGAGGCUGAGGUGGUACGAUUGCUUGAGCCCAGGAGUUCAAGACCAGCCUGGAAAACAUGGUGAAGCCACGUCUCUACCAAAAAUACAAAAGUUAGCCAGGUGUAGUGGUGUGCACCUGUAGUCCCAGCUCCUUGGGAGGGUGAGGUGGGAGGAUGGUUUGAGCCUGGGAGGCGAAGGUUGCAGUGAGCCAAGAUCAUGCCAUUGCACUCCACCCUGGGCAACAUAGCCAGAGCCUGUCUCAAAAAAAAAACAAAAAACAAGAAAAUUUAAUGUGUCAGAAAAAAAAGCAUUUCUUUGUUAAUCAUUUACUGUGUAUUAGGCUAUGAGAUCCCAUUACCUCCUUAGUGAAGGAAUCUGACAUAUUUUUCUUGUUUGUAGUUUGCAUGUACAAAGUUUUUCCAAAUGUAAGCUGUCGUGGUGAUUUUUCUUCAGAGUCAACUUGACUAGCUUUAGCCUCAGGAAAAAGGCAGUUGGAAAAAAAAAAAAAAGGUUAGCUGUAAAACAGCCUUAAACAGGUCCUUUAGGAGUUAUUCCAGAAGAAGGCAUUGUUAUCAUAGAAGAAGAUAGUUUCAAGUGUGUUAUUACCCCUGAAAACAUUCCAGUAGAACAAAAUGUGAAUGUGGAAGAUGGUGAUAUUGAUGAUCCUAACCCUGUGUAGGCCUAGGCCAAUGUGUGUACAUCUUAGUUUUUAACAAAAAAG
rnacentral:lncRNA from 1 species